CCGCCCAUUCGGCAGCGCCAACAGACACGACCGCCGGCGUCCCGGGCGCCCGCCCGCCGCGGCCCCUAACUCUAGGCAAGCGGGAGGGAUCCGGGCGGAGAAGGACGCGGGCAGGCCCCUCGGCUCUGGGUCUGGGGCCGGGAGACAGAGGGCCGCGGCCUGUCAGAGCCGAGGGGCCCAGGCAAAUGGGGGACCCUGAGGCAACGCCGAGGGCUCGGCAGGGCCGCGGACGCCGCCGCAGCUGGGUUUGUUAUUGUCGACUCGGUCUCUUCCUCCGCGGCGCAUGCCGGGAAACGGCCGGCCGGGGGAGGGGCGCGCCUGGAGGCGCAGAGAGGCGUCUGCGCAGGUCCGGAAGUCGGCAGACUGCCGGGAACGGGGCGGUGCCGCCUCCGGCUCUCAGCCGGCCGGGCAAGUUGGCUGUCCUGGCCUGACCCUGGGAGACUCCGCGGGGGCCGCCUGCCGUGGUGUUAGCUGCCGUCCCAGCGCGGACUUUCCCAAGAGUCUCGCUCUGUUGCCCUGGCUGGAGUACAGUGGCGAAAUCUCAGCUCACAGCAACUCCACCUCCCGAGUUCAAGCAAUUCCAUGA
rnacentral:lncRNA from 13 species